rnacentral:rRNA from 1 species
GGACUACCCGGGUUUCUAAUCCCGUUUGCUCCCCACGCUUUCGUGCCUGAGUGUCAGGAACGAGCUAGUAACCUGCUUACGCCAUCGGUGUUCCUCCUAAUAUCUACGGAUUUCACUCCUACACUAGGAAUUCCAGUUACCUCUCUCGUCCUCUAGCUGAGCAGUUCAAAACAUGUAUGUAUGGUUGAGCCACACGAUUUCAUGCCUUGCUUACUCUGCCACCUACGCAACUCUUUACGCCCAGUAAUUCCGGAUAACGCUUGGAUCCUCCGUAUUACCGCGGCUGCUGGCAC